rnacentral:rRNA from 1 species
UACGUAGGGUGCAAGCGUUGUCCGGAAUUAUUGGGCGUAAAGAGCUCGUAGGCGGUCAGUCGCGUCUGCUGUGAAAACUCGGGGCUUAACUCCGGGCCUGCAGUGGGUACGGGCUGACUAGAGUGCGGUAGGGGAGACUGGAAUUCCUGGUGUAGCGGUGAAAUGCGCAGAUAUCAGGAGGAACACCGAUGGCGAAGGCAGGUCUCUGGGCCGUAACUGACGCUGAGAAGCGAAAGCAUGGGGAGCGAACAGG